rnacentral:rRNA from 1 species
AUGGCGGUGCCCUUCUUCCUCGGCUCGUUCGCCAUCGACAUGUGCGUGGGGAGCUUGAUACUCCACAUGUGGUCCAAGUCCGAGAGGCUGCACACGCAGAUGUUCGCACCGGCGGUGGCGUCGGGGCUCAUCUGUGGCGACGGGAUAUGGUCGGUGCCGUCGUCGUUUCUGUCGCUAGGCAACGUGGAACCGCCCAUGUGCCUUAGGGUCUUCGACGCCGACACCAACUACGAGGUGGAGCAGUUCCUCGCGACCUUACCCAUCCCACAGGCGUAG